AUUUUUUUAAAUAAGAUAUUUAACGAAGAAGUAGAACAACUCAAAACUAGUGUACUUUGUUAUAUUUAGAAUCUUUGUUUUUUUUCUCUUGAUCAAAAUCCAUGUGCCCAUUUUUGACCAUUUUCACCAAGGCUGUAAAACUAUUUUUCAGAAUGUCUAUCUUGGUUUUAGAGGCAGUUAUUUGUAUGUUGCCUACUUUUAAGACAGUAGUCAGUCACAUAAAUUUAAAACUGUAUAUGAAGUCAAUGACUCCUGGUUUUAGCUGGGAUAGGGUUAAUUUUCAUCCUAGUAACUGGUACAGUGCUGUUUUGCAUUUAUAUGAGAAUAGUGUUCAUAACACUGAUGUUUUCAGUUGUUGCUAAGUAGUGUUAGUAUACUAACUCAAGGACUUUUCAGCUUAUGCGCUGCCAGUGAGAGGGCUGGAAGAGCCCAAAAAGCCAGGAGGGACAUGGCCAGGGCAGCUGACCCAAACUGGACAAAGGGGCAUUCCAUACCAUAUGACAUCAUGCUCAGCAUAUGAACUUCGGGGGAAGGGACUGGCUGGGCCCUGGGGUUGAAGGCUGUGGUUAAACCACAAAAGUGAUUACCAAAAUAAAGGUGUUAAAAAAAAAAAAUCAAAAUAGAGAUUUGAGCUUUAAUCCAUUUUACGGUUUUUAGAUACCAUAUUUUUCUGUAUAUAGAAUGACAAAAGGUUUGUGUUCUGAUUUGCUUCAAGGGCUACUGCUUUCUGCUGGUAUAAACAUAUGGUGGAGCAUAGGUGUCAGAACUGAAAUUUGGGUAUAAUGCGUAUAAACCGAAAGUUCAGGUUUUGUGAAGAAUUCUACCUUACAGCUGCUGUUUCCUGUUGUUGGAAAGAAGCUUUCUUGGUGAUCACUGCUUGUGCCUGAUCCUGGUUGCUGUCUGCACAUCUGAUUGUGAGCCCCUACCUGCUGGUUCAGCUUCUUGGCUUAACCUUGGACCUUCAUCAUAUCCUGCAGUCUGAGCCUGGCUCCUGUCACUGGAUCUGCUCUGCUCACCUUUGUCAGGUUAAGGUGCAUCUGAUCCUGCUGUUAUGUUACACCCAGGGGCAUCACUGUGGGAAAAGGAGAGGAUUUCUGCUUUCUCCCAUGUGGAAUGCCUUAACCAUGACUAGUUAUGGAGCAAGUAAGCACUAUUACUGCUCUUUUCCUCUGCACUUCUUUAAAAGUGUGGAUCCUGUCCUUUCUUGGAAAGGAAAGUUGUAGGAACAUGUA